CCGACGGGGCCUGCGCGGUUCCUGGGUUGCGCGGCAGCUAGUGGCCUUCGCGACGGGGAAAGAGCGACGUCAGGACUUGGCAAGGUCCCGUGAUGGCAGCCUCUUGCCACCACCCUUCGGAAAACUUUUUUCUGCCUUUCCACUCUUUCCGCACCCUCCUCUGAAAAUUUUCUAACUGUUCUUUGGAGACAGAUCUACUGGUACUUUAAAUAUCACUUCGCUCUUUUUCUUACUUGCAUAUUUCCUGAAGAGAAGUCAUGUUGUCCAGUUGCUGGCCAAAGCUAGUCACACAGUGAAGCACUAUUAAGAGAGGGAGCGGUCUUCCCACAGGAGGAGUGUAGAGAGAUACAAGCUAAUCAGGGGUGAAGCUGCUACUGCUGCCGCCAGGCCCUGCAGAUGGUCUUUUCUUUGCCACGUCUCGGCUGCAGGCCCACCUUGUCCUGUCAUCUCCAUUCCUGUUUCCCAGUCCUCCCCCCCCCCCCCCAUUGAACAGCA